rfam:Gossypium arboreum cultivar AKA8401 contig_7960_9, whole genome shotgun sequence.
AAUAGUUUUAUGCCACGUCAGUAUUCUUAUCCUGAAUUUCAGGAUUUUAUCCUGAAAAAAAUUAAAUCCAAAUUAAAAUACUGAAAUUUAGGAUAAACUCCUAAAAUUCAGGAUAAGAAUAUUGAUGUGGCAUAAAACUAUU